rnacentral:rRNA from 1 species
UACAGAGGUGGCAAGCGUUGUUCGGAAUUACUGGGCGUAAAGGGCGCGUAGGCGGUCCGUCAAGUCCCGUGUGAAAGCCCCCGGCUCAACCGGGGAACGGCGCGGGAAACUAGCAGGCUUGAGUUCGGGAGAGGGAAGCGGAAUUCCGGGUGUAGCGGUGAAAUGCGCAGAUAUCCGGAGGAACACCGGUGGCGAAGGCGGCUUCCUGGACCGACACUGACGCUGAGGCGCGAAAGCUAGGGGAGCAAACGGG